rnacentral:lncRNA from 1 species
AUCUAAGAUUCAGGGUUUAUCAACCCUAAGCUUAGUAGUAAGAACAACUAGAUGAAGAACUAAUUAAAUCAUCCUAACAACAAUUUAAGCUAGCAAUACAUAUAUCAACCUUAUGAGAAUCCUAAAUCUAAUAGUGAGAUUACUCAGACAUAUUCAUAAAAGACAUGGUCAUGAUGGUCUGGAUAAUAUUGCAAUAGAUAAAUAAACAGAACAGAGUAAAGAAACAAAGGGAGUUCAAGAUCUUCCCUCUCUCAAGGUGUACAGAUCUCUCUCUCCAAUCCUAAGCUCUCUCUCUCUAGAAUAGUAUGAAGCAUAGCCGUCAACAAUGGCUUAGAAACAGUAAAAUAGGGUUUCAGGCCGUCCAAGGGUAUAUUGGUAAUAUGUGGUGACUUCUGGGCCUAAAUUGGUCACGAAACAGCCUUGG